CGCCUUUUGAAUUUUUAACAUAAAAGGUCCUGCCUGCCCAGUGACUUUGUUCAACGGCCGCGGUAUUAUGACCGUGCAAAGGUAGCGUAAUCACUUGUCUUUUAAAUAAAGACCAGUAUGAACGGCAAAACGAGGGCCUAACUGUCUCACUAGAUCAGUCAGUGAAAUUAAUCUCUCAGUGCAGAAGCUGGGAUACAUAUAUAAGACGAGAAGACCCUGUGGAGCUUUAAACCUAAGCUAAUAUAUAAUAUAUCAUAGCACCAGGUUUUAGGUUGGGGCGACCACAAGAAAAAAUAAACUCUUAAGAUAUUAACAAGAAGGACACUUCAAACAAAUGGUAAUACUAACACAUUGACCCAAUAUUUGAUCAACGAACCAAGUUACCCCAGGGAUAACAGCGCAAUCCACUCACAGAGCCCAUAUCGACGAGCGGGUUUACGACCUCGAUGUUGGAUCAGGACCACCUAAUGGUGCAACAACUAUUAAAGGUUCGUUUGUUCAACGAUUAAAGUCCU
rnacentral:rRNA from 1 species